GACGAAGGAUGCAAGCGUUAUCCGGAUUCAUUGGGUUUAAAGGGUGCGUAGGCGGCCUGAUAAGUCAGUGGUGAAAUCUCCUCGCUUAACGAGGAAACUGCCAUUGAUACUGUCGGGCUUGAGUACAGAUGCUGUGGGCGGAAUAUGACAUGUAGUGGUGAAAUACAUAGAGAUGUCAUAGAACACCGAUUGCGAAGGCAGCUCACAAAACUGUAACUGACGCUGAGGCACGAAAGUGCGGGGAUCAAACAGG
rnacentral:rRNA from 1 species